AGGUUGAACGCUGGCGGCAUGCCUAACACAUGCAAGUCGAACGGCAGCACGGGGGGCAACCCUGGUGGCGAGUGGCGAGCGGGUGAGUAAUGCAUCGGAACGUAUCCUUGAGUGGGGGAUAACGCAGCGAAAGUUGUGCUAAUACCGCAUAAGCUCUGAGGAGGAAAGCGGGGGACCGAAAGGCCUCGCGCUGAAGGAGCGGCCGAUGUCCGAUUAGCUUAGUUGGUGAGGUAAAGGCUUACCAAGGCGACGAUCGGUAGCUGGUCUGAGAGGAUGAUCAACCACACUGGGACUGAGACACGGCCCAGACCUCCUACGGGCGGCAGC
rnacentral:rRNA from 1 species